rfam:Caprimulgus carolinensis contig34560, whole genome shotgun sequence.
CUUCAGUGAAGAUGAGAUGACGAGUCUGAAAGGAAAAUGUCCUUGUCCAAGUGCCCUCUAUCCUGUUGUGUUCUACAACAUGGAUUUUGGGGACCUUGGGUCACAUUUGAGUGACUUUGAGGCAUUUGUCUGAGAAGG